UACGUAGGGUGCAAGCGUUAUCCGGAAUUAUUGGGCGUAAAGAGCUCGUAGGCGGUGUGUCACGUCGGCCGUGAAAACCUGCAGCUUAACUGUGGGCGUGCGGUCGAUACGGGUAUCACUGGAGUUCGGCAGGGGAGACUGGAAUUCCUGGUGUAGCGGUGAAAUGCGCAGAUAUCAGGAGGAACACCGGUGGCGAAGGCGGGUCUCUGGGCCGAUACUGACGCUGAGGAGCGAAAGCGUGGGGAGCAAACAGG
rnacentral:rRNA from 1 species